CGGUGUCAGCGUAAAUACUGUUGCCGGUACAAAACCUGUUUCUUUUCGCUUCCGGUAAACCCCUAUCACAUGAUUUAAACUUCGGUAGGCCUACAUUGUUUUGAACAUCUGUACGUACAGUUAUACUCUUCCACUCUUUUGUAGCUGUUCGCACUUAGCUAAAUGCAUUUCUCCUUGCUAACUAGCUUUCUGCAGUUCACUUGCUUUAGCUGUUUAGAUUACAGUGCUUUAGGCUGCAGGCUAAUAAUCUGGUAAAACUGUCCAACCCAGAUGCUAUGUGAAGAACCGCAUAGUUACACAUGCUUAGCGUUGUUUCAAAAACGGGGUCAAUACAAAUGACACCAGCUCCCGAACUGGACUGAAAGCGGAAGGCAACAGGUUUUGUACCCGCAACAGUCUUUGCACUUACUGUACACCGGUUCAUUCUUGCUCAGUAGAUGGCGCGGUUACACUUUAAGAAUUCACUGACUAUUCUCAUCAAGCAUGAAUAAAAGAGGCCUGUUGGUGUAGUCAAUAUGAUCCACCUGGCAGCACAGCACCUGCCUGGGAGAUCAAGGUGAUUCCUGUACCCAAUAUGCUUUCAAUAUCUUCCUAUAACCUGGCAAUUCAUUUUUGUCCCCUGUAGCAAGACAGGAACUUAUGCAUACCAAGACGACCCCCCCCCCCCACCCCCACCCCUCCCUCCUCAACCAACUGACAAAUCUGGGACAGUGCAAAAAACUAGGGCAACUGCUCUUUUAUUCUGUACAACAACACAGGCCACUGUGUAACGUCUGCUCUGACAGUUACAGCUCUAUCUCAAGCUAAUCAUUUUGGAUGCUCUGUCAAAUUGCUGUCAUAAAACCCAAUAUUGUCCAUAAAGCAUAAAACUCUGUGAACUUCACUGACCUUCAGGCUUACUGUGCUGGGAAAGCCAAGCCCCACGGGCUUAUGGCGAUGACCGCACACCCUCUCGCCCUGUGCUUGGGAACAUUUGUACGGUUUAUGAGGUCCGAAACGCUGUGUUUGGUGGGGUGGCCACACUGCAGCCCACGGGCCAAGCUUUCCCCAGUCAGAAGAUGCUUCACGUGUAGCUUUAGCGAACUGACCUGGGUGCCUGGUUGACCAGCAGGGGUCACCAGAGAGAGCGAAGAAACAUAGUACCCUGCCAGCCGACUGAAUCCCACCCCCCCUGCUCAACACGAUCGCCGAUUGGGCGGGGUCCCUGCAGGACAGCUGGUCACAGUCGCUCUGGCAAGGUCCUACAAACAAAGACCAAGGGGCUCACCCAUGCACUCAAAUGUUGCACUAACAUGUUGUAUUAGCUGGGAAAUUCAGGAACUGUUUUAUACUUGGAGUUUUUUGGAAGGACUUUUUAGGAAGAAAGACAUUUAGAAACAUGCAAAAACAAGUCGUACUGUUCUCCUUUGUUACACUAUGUGCUUGAAAUGAAUCCGAAUUCUAAUCUAGGGUUAAAGACAUUAAAAGCAUUACAAGGGUAUUAAUGUGUUCUUUUAUGUAAAGUUCUUACAGGAUUGCCUCAGAAGACUGCAAAACUGUUUUGUGUACACAGUGGUUUCUGUUUUCACCUUCAGACUACAGCUAAAGAAUGACAAGAACAACAUGGAAACUUCUAAUCUUGCCUUUGUACACACCAAUGUGCAUAUGUUAAGAAAGCAGAACUGUGUUUGAAGGUAACAUCUCAAAGUGUUUGCAUGAAUUGACAUUUUCAAGUGUCAUGUUUAAAGGUCAGCAUUAUGAAUCCAACAAUAACCAGGUUUUCCACUAUGAAAAUUUAAUAAUAUAAAUUUUUAAUGACUUUUUUUGGAUGAAAUUAAAAGCAUUUUUUUGGCUAAUCCUGUGAAAUAUAUCAGUUAAAAAGAGAGUCAGUCAAUGAUUAACUGAUGUAAAGGGUAUAUGUGCUAGAAUGUGCUAGCUCUGAAACUAAAUAAUUUGAAUUUAUUUUGUUUUGCUUUCAUUGAUGAAAAAUGAUCUGUAGAUUUUGCUAGCUUCCGUACCUGUUCAGUUUUAAGACCUAAAUCCUCCUAAGUCAUGUGAUCAUGUACAUAAACUGAUUAAAUCAACAUUUGUCACUUUGAACAACUUAAGAACAGUUAAAAACAAGAAUUGCUUUUUUUCACAAACACAGUUUAAAAAGUAGCCAUCAGUAAAACUAACUUUCCUAACUUGAAUUGGUAGAGAAACACCUUACAUUUAUUUGUAAGUAAAAGUUAAGGACAGAUGUUAAUUGUAGACAGACUGCUAUCUCUGACAUUGAAGUCAGAUUCAUUGUACUGGGCAUGAGAUAUUUGUAGCUUGUGCAUUUUUAUGUUUAGCUUAAAAAAAAAAGCAGAAUUAGUGAUUAUGAAAAAUAGUUACAUUACCAGAGAAAUCUGGUCUUUCAUGGAUUCAGAAUUUCUAUAUCACGCGAGUGGUGGUGUAGCAGUCUGCUCAGGGAACUGGGCUCGUAACUCAGUUCAAAGGUUUUAAUCUCAGGUGAGGCAGUGUUGAUGUACUUUUGAACAAGGUGCAUCAACUGAAUUACUUGAUUGCAUCAACUGAAUUACCACAAUUACUUCAGUAAAUAUCCGGCUGUAUAAAUGCAUGGUAUGUAAAAAAAAAAGAAUAAGCCAUGUAAGGUCACUGUGGAUAAGAGUCACUGAUACAUUCCUGAAU